rnacentral:rRNA from 1 species
UACGUAGGGGGCAAGCGUUGUCCGGAUUAUUGGGCGUAAAGAGCGUGUAGGCGGUCCGGUAAGUCCGUUGUGAAAGUCAGGGGCUCAACCCUUGAAUGCCGGCGGAUACUGUCGGGCUAGAGUCCGGAAGAGGCGAGUGGAAUUCCCGGUGUAGCGGUGAAAUGCGCAGAUAUCGGGAGGAACACCUAUGGCGAAGGCAGCUCGCUGGGACGGUACUGACGCUGAGAACGCGAAAGCGUGGGGAGCAAACAGG